rnacentral:rRNA from 1 species
UAAGACACGCCAGUGGGUGUUGGUUGACCUGCCUAGUCGACCGGCACCCAAGCCUAGAUGCUGGUAGGCAAAAAGAUUACACAAGCUUGUGUCCCGAAAGAUUAAAUCAUGUGUUGUUUUGGCUUGGGGAACCAAUCAGCACAAAUGAGUGAAGUAUCAUGAUGGCUGUAUUCGUCCAGUCGAUCAUUGAUAGAGAAAUAUAUGAUCUUGGUGGUGUUGUUUUGGCUUGGGAAACCAAACAGCAUAAAUGAAAUGAGUGAAGUACUCAUAAAGACUGGGCCUCACAGUCAAUCAUCCCUAGUGUACUGUUGCUAAACUGAAACUUAAAGGAAUUGACGGAAUUUUGAUACUUUGACCGGGGUACCUAACCUGUCAUAUGCUCUGAUGGUGUUCUCGUGACUUUUGUUGCCAGAUCUGCCAAGGGCGAUGGGAUAGUACGCGACCUAAUGGUUGUGUGCAAGGUUUGAAGAAGGCUGUGUGUUAUUUGCAUACGCCUCGCCCUGAUAAUGUUUACCUCAUUUUACACUGUUUAAGCGAUCCGGUUUGGCUUGCCAUUCACGGGUUUGCUGCUCCGCAUGCACCUGGCUUUUAGCUGGACUGCAUGUACGCUGGCCUGGUAGACUUGCGCCCGGGUUGCAGCCUCGAACCUUUAGUUCUAUGCAUCUGGGAAACCAAUGUGUAGGAUUAUUGGAGUACAACUUUGAGCGGUGGAUCACUCGGCUCGUGCGUCGAUGAAGAGUGCAGCCAACUGUGUGAAUUAAUGUGAACUGCAUACUGCUUUGAACAUCGACAUCUUGAACGCAUAUUGCGGCUACGGGAUAUCCUGUGGCCACGUCUGUCCGAGGGUCGGCUUUCCAUCUAUCACGAUGCACUUUAAGUCGUGGAUUGGGCGAGUGCCUGCCGGCGUGUAUACCCGUAUAUCAACGCGGGUUGCUGGUCAAAGGCUCCGUCCUAAUUUGUCCGGCCACAGCCUAGUCUGGUGUAGAACUUCUGAUUGAGUCGCCACGGUGGGUUGUGCUCGAGUCGUAGCUUAAUGAUAUACAUAUAUAUAAACGCUCGAGAGUACAUGACCUAUCGUGAGUACAGUUAUAAUUAAACGGCUUGAUUGGAGGUCUAUACAUAGUCUAUGGCUUAACCGAGAGUGUGUUAUGCACAUUAUCAGUUUUACCCUGACCUCGGAUCAGAUGUGAAUACCCGCUGAACUUAAGCAUAACAAUAAGCGGAGGA